ensembl:lncRNA
CUGGAGCACCUGCGGCUGCAGAAUGCUGCCGCGCACCUCUCCGAGGACGAGAGGGGCCUCCUGCAGCCCCAGGUCGGCGCCAGGCCCCCCGUCCUCCUCCAUCCCGGCGGGCCCCUGGGUGUGACGGAGCUGAGCUCCACACAAGGACCCGGCGCGCCGGCCGCCGACACGGAGCAGGUGGUGCAGCUGAGGAAGAGGAUGGAGGUGAUUGAGGAGGGGAUGACGAAGGUGAGGAGCCGUCCUCAGCAUCCUGCCCUGCACAGCGCUGUGUCCGUGCUGUGUCGUGUCAUCGUCCUCGGAAACGUCUCCUGAGACGGGACUGGAGAACCUGGCAUAGCACAGAGCCGUAUUUCUAGUUCAGGUGACAGUAACUUAGCUGUGGGGUUUCGUUAGGCUGCAGUACGUUAACAUUGCCACUGGCCAAAGGUGGUUUUGGUUACUUUUUAUCUGUCCCUGGUGCUCCAGCAAUGUAAACUUUGAGAUUCCGAUUUGCUGGGUUCCUCCUCUCUUUCCAAGGGUCCUUACAGCUCUACCUGGGGUUGUCAGGGACUGCAUCCCAUAACCUGUCUGCCCUGCAAUGCAGAAUAGAGGCGACAGAUGACAGCAGAGCUGCCUCGUGGGCAAGCUGUCCCCACGCCAAAGCAGAGUCCUUCCUGUAGGAGACGAGGCCACGGCACAUGUUCUGUUUCUUUGGCCAUUAAAGUUCAAGCCCUAUGUUGGAAACAUGACACGUGACAUCAGAACUGCCUCCAUCGCAUGAGGCACACGUUGUGUUGUGGUGGCUCUGUGUCUGCUGACAGGUACUUCAGGUUGCCCAGGGAAGGUGUAGGUACCCCAUUCCUGGAGGCACUCAAGGCCAGGCUGGAUGGGAUCCUUGGCAGCCUGAGCUAGUGCUUGUUUGGCAACCCUGCCCAUGGCAGUGGGGUUGGAGCUUGAUGAUGUGGCAGCCCCUCUGGGUCUGAGCUCUGUGUCCCAGAGGCCCCUCCAGUCCCAGGUGCUGCAUGCUGCUCAGAGGCACUGGCUGGGCACUGUUCCUCAGGUCACAGACACACUACAGGAGGUGCUUACCAACACCUGCUCCCUGAAAACCACCAUCCAGGCCUUCCAGGAGGAGCUGCAGCUCCUGAAGGACAGUUUCCAGAAGACUGGUCUGGAGGAGCUGCGAGAGCGGGUGGUACAGCAGGACAAAAACAGCCACCUCCUGCAGAACAUCCUGAGCCAAAUGGCAGAGGUGCGGCAGCAGCUGAGCUCCUUCCCCUGGCAGACCGGAAUGCUGUGCUCGUUCUGCAGGCUGCCUGCUGGUGAGAAGCUCUCCAGCCAGGACCUCAUCCCUGAGGCCUCACAGGAGCCAGCCCUCGAGGCCCCAUGCAGGCUGAGCGGAGUGUUGGAGCAGCACAAGGGUGUGGAGACCUGCAUCACCUGCAGCAAGAGCACGCUUCAGCAGCACGCUGGCCUGGGGACUUCAGAGGAUGUGGCCACGGAGAAGAUGCAGGGAGAAGUAAGGCACCUGUAGGACAAAGGAGAGAAAGCUCCCAGUUGUCCAGGCCUCCGAGGUGCUGCCCAGUGGCCUGGGGGCUGCAGCCCAUUGCCUCACUCACCAGGAGCACACUGGAGCAACUCAUGAGCCCACCUCAUGUGACUCCCUUGUGCCUUACACAGGCCAUGUUUUAUCCUCGCCAGGGGUCAGAUUUUGGCAAAGAGGUGCUGAACCAGGUAGAACAGCUGCAAGAGCAAUGCACAAGACUCCAGGAGGCUGCAGAGCACCUAUGGGGUGACUCCAAGGACACUCAGGUGAGUGUGGUCACCAGCUCAGCUCAGGAGCCACUGGUGCUGUAGUAAGU